AGGUUAGAGCCAGAGCGAGCGGCCUACCCUCCUGCCCUCCUCGACCUCCCCAAAUCCUGACCCUGUCGCGACGAUGGCCCGCCUCCUCCUCCCCCUCCCCUUCGCCGCCGCCACCGCCUCCGCCUCCUCGCUCCACCUCGCCGCCUCCCGCCUGCGCAUCCCCGCCGUCUCCGUCGCGCGGCGCGAGGGACUCUUCGGGGGAAGGGUGGAAGGAGGAGUGAGGGCUCCCGCGAGUCUGGCGAGGAGGGAGCUGAGCGCCGGCGCGGAGGCCGGCGGCGGCUCGGCGGCGCAGGUGGGCGCGGUGGUCGGGCCGGGGGAGGCCAUGGAGUGGGUCAAGAAGGACCGCAGGCGCCUUCUUCAUGUCGUCUACCGCGUUGGCGACCUAGACAAGACGAUCAAAUUUUACACGGAAUGCCUGGGGAUGAAGCUGCUGCGGAAGCGGGACAUACCGGAGGAGAGGUACACCAAUGCUUUUUUGGGAUACGGGCCUGAGGACUCGCAUUUUGUUGUGGAGCUCACUUACAAUUAUGGUGUGGAAAGCUAUAACAUUGGGAUUGGUUUUGGCCAUUUUGGGAUUGCAGUGGAGGAUGUUGCAAAAACAGUGGAUCUUAUUAAAGCCAAGGGAGGAACAGUAACAAGGGAGCCAGGUCCUGUAAAAGGUGGGAAAUCAGUAAUUGCCUUUAUCGAAGAUCCUGACGGUUACAAGUUUGAGCUUAUAGAAAGAGGUCCUACCCCUGAGCCUUUGUGCCAGGUAAUGCUUCGAGUGGGAGAUCUUGAUCGUGCUAUCAAUUUCUAUGAGAAGGCAUUUGGCAUGGAACUUCUUCGCAAGCGAGACAAUCCUCAGUACAAGGUGGACUCAAGCAAUGUGCGGUGGGGCUUCUCUGGCAUUCGUGUGACUACCCUAGAACAUGUCACUAGUGAAGCUAUCGUGAAGCUACAGGCUGCCAUUGAUGGGAUUGAUUGUUUGGAGUCUUUGGACGAUAACUUGAGGCUUGAUGGAGCCGACUCUUGUUUAUUGAGCCUUUCCUCGUAGUAUUAUUUUUGGACGUCACUGGUCAAAGCUAGGCUUCUAAAGUCGUUGAUGGGCCUUUUACUAGAAACCAUGCAACCCUUCAAAGCCACCCAGCCUAACAUAACCUGCCUGCUAAUACCUCCCCUCCCCAACCUGUUGGAAACUACCCCGAUCCACCCAUCCUGCUUCACCUGUGGUCUGGGCCAAAACCAGCCCAAUCUGUGUAAACCCGGCUGUAUACCACCCUCAUAGUAAUAAAGCCUAAUAGCAACAAAGGACUUAUGAUGUUGCAUAUUGAUUUUCAGCAUGAAAGUUUCAUUCAUUCACAGUCUUCAUGAGAUAUACCACGAUGGUUAUGUCUAGAAGCUUCCAUCUCUGUUCUUAAUAUUUAGAAACCAAACUUUGCAGUCUUCAUCCACUCGGCCAUUUGCCAUGGCAUCCAUGGCAACUAUUUGUUUAUGGAAUUCACGACACUGUAAAAAGUAACUAUUGUUAUCUUUUCUUUAGUAUACGAUUGCAAUGAUGGGUUAUGGUCCAGAAGACAAAAAUGCUGUACUGGAGUUGACCUACAACUAUGGGGUCACGGAAUAUGACAAGGGAAAUGCUUAUGCACAGAUUGCUAUUAGUACUGAUGAUGUCUACAAGACUGCGGAAGUAGUUA